UUUUGAAGAUUCUUUUUUCAAACUUUUCUUCCUUUCUAGCCCUAUGACAACUUGUCCUUCAUUUUCCAUCUAUAAAUAGGAGCUCGAUCUCAUAGUUUUAAUUCAAGGCAUAGCAAAUUUACAACACGCUUUCUCCUACAUACCAAAAACUCUAUUUCAUCCUUAGCUUUAUAUCUCCUAAACAUGUCGGACAAGUGCGGCAGCUAUGACUGUGCUGACGUCAGUCAGUGCAUCGAGACCGUGGUGAUGGACGUUGGAGCGGUGGAGCAUGAUGGGAAAUGCAAGUGCGGCAGCAGCUGCGCCUGUGUGAACUGCACUUGUGGUCUUUAAGCCCUUUUAAGAACUAUGAAUAACUAUGAAUAAAGUGUUUAAUGAAUAACAGUACUAUUUUGUUAUCUGUGGUGAAAUAAACUUCUUGUGCUAAUUAAGUCUUAAUAGUCAAAAGAAAAUGUAAGGAGUCAGGCUAGUCCGUCUGUCUGUCUCUUUGGUCAAGUUUGUAGCACAACUUUCAUUGUUAAAUAGAUUAUUUCUAUAGCA